rnacentral:rRNA from 1 species
GAGAUUCCCACUGUCCCUAUCCACUGUCUAGCGAACCCACAGCCAAGGGAACGGGCUUGGAAUAAUCAGCGGGGAAAGAAGACCCUGUUGAGCUUGACUCUAGUCCGACUUUGUGAAAAGACAUUUGGGGUGUAGCAUAGGUGGGAGCUUCGGCGCCAAUGAAAUACCACUACCCGAAUCGUUUUUUUACUUAUUUAAUGAGGCGGAAGCGGGUCUCACGACCCAACUUCUGGAUUUAAACCGCCUCUUUUACAGAGGUCGGUGAUCCGAGUUAAAGACAUUGUCAGGUGGGGAGUUUGGCUGGGGCGGUACAUCUGUAAAACGAUAACGCAGGUGUCCUAAGGGGAGCUCAAGAAGAACGGAAAUCUUCUGUAGAACAAAAGGGUAAAAGCUCCCUUGAUUUUGAUUUUCAGUAUGAAUACAAACUGUGAAA